GAUGAACGCUGGCGGCGUGCCUAAUACAUGCAAGUCGAGCGAACGGGCGAGAAGCUUGCUUCUCUGAUGUUAGCGGCGGACGGGUGAGUAACACGUGGAUAACCUACCUAUAAGACUGGGAUAACUUCGGGAAACCGGAGCUAAUACCGGAUGAUAUUUUGAACCGCAUGGUUCAAUAGUGAAAGACGGUCUUGCUGUCACUUAUAGAUGGAUCCGCGCUGCAUUAGCUAGUUGGUAAGGUAACGGCUUACCAAGGCAACGAUGCAUAGCCGACCUGAGAGGGUGAUCGGCCACACUGGAACUGAGACACGGUCCAGACUCCUACGGGAGGCAGCAGUAGGGAAUCUUCCGCAAUGGGCGAAAGCCUGACGGAGCAACGCCGCGUGAGUGAUGAAGGUCUUCGGAUCGUAAAACUCUGUUAUUAGGGAAGAACAAAUGUGUAAGUAACUGUGCACAUCUUGACGGUACCUAAUCAGAAAGCCACGGCUAACUACGUG
rnacentral:rRNA from 1 species